AGAGUUUGAUCCUGGCUCAGAGUGAACACUGGCGGCGUGCCUAACACAUGCAAGUCGAGGGGGAAAGGGAGGCUUCGGCCUCCCGAGUACACCGGCAGACGGGUGAGUAACACGUGGGUAACCUGCCCCCAGGUCUGGGAUAACCCUGGGAAACCGGGGCUAAUACCGGAUAAUGUGCGUGGGCGCAAGCUCACGCACCAAAGGGGGCCUCUGCAUAGCAAGCUCCUGCCUGGGGAGGGGCCCGCGGCCCAUCAGCUAGUUGGUGGGGUAACGGCCCACCAAGGCUACGACGGGUAGCCGGCCUGAGAGGGUGGUCGGCCACACGGGCACUGAGACACGGGCCCGACUCCUACGGGAGGCAGCAGUGGGGAAUCUUGGGCAAUGGGCGAAAGCCUGACCCAGCGACGCCGCGUGGGGGAAGAAGGCCUUCGGGUCGUAAACCCCUGUCAGGGGGGAAGAACCCGGCGCGGGUGAAUAACCCGAUGCCGGCUGACGGUACCCCCAGAGGAAGCCACGGCUAACUCCGUGCCAGCAGCCGCGGUAAUACGGAGGUGGCGAGCGUUGCCCGGAAUCACUGGGCGUAAAGGGGGCGUAGGCGGCCAGGCAAGUCGGAGGUUAAAGCCCGGGGCUCAACC
rnacentral:rRNA from 1 species